rnacentral:rRNA from 1 species
GACGAACGCUGGCGGCGUGCUUAACACAUGCAAGUCGAACGAUGAACCCGGAGCUUGCUCCGGUGGAUUAGUGGCGAACGGGUGAGUAACACGUGAGUAACCUGCCCUUGACUCUGGGAUAACUGCGGGAAACUGUAGCUAAUGCCGGAUACGACCCUCGGCGGCAUCGCCCGGGGGGGGAAAGAAUUUCGGUCAAGGAUGGACUAGCGGCCUAUCAGCUGGUUGGUGAGGUAACGGCUCACCAAGGCGACGACGGGUAGCCGGCCUGAGAGGGUGACCGGCCACACUGGGACUGAGACACGGCCCAGACUCCUACGGGAGGCAGCAGUGGGGAAUAUUGCACAAUGGGCGUAAGCCUGAUGCAGCAACGCCGCGUGAGGGAUGACGGCCUUCGGGUUGUAAACCUCUUUUAGUAGGGAAGAAGCGAAAGUGACGGUACCUGCAGAAAAAGCACCGGCUAACUACGUGCCAGCCGCCGCCGUAA